GAUGGAGCAACGCCGCGUGAGUGAAGAAGGUUUUCGGAUCGUAAAGCUCUGUUGUUGGUGAAGAAGGAUAGAGGUAGUAACUGGCCCCUAUUUGACGGUAAUCAACCAGAAAGUCACGGCUAACUACGUGCCAGCAGCCGCGGUAAUACGUAGGUGGCAAGCGUUGUCCGGAUUUAUUGGGCGUAAAGCGAGCGCAGGCGGAAAGAUAAGUCUGAUGUGAAAGCCCCCGGCUUAACCGAGGAAUUGCAUCGGAAACUGUGUUUCUUGAGUGCAGAAGAGGAGAGUGGAACUCCAUGUGUAGCGGUGGAAUGCGUAGAUAUAUGGAAGAACACCAGUGGCGAAGGCGGCUCUCUGGUCUGUAACUGACGCUGAGGCUCGAAAGCAUGGGUAGAGAACAGGAUUAGAUACCCUGGUAGUCCAUGCCGUAAACGAUGAGUGCUAAGUGUUGGGAGGUUUCCGCCUCUCA
rnacentral:rRNA from 1 species